GAUUGAAAAUUCCCCUACUGGUUGUUUCAACCACAUCCGUUAAGGGCCGUUUUCACCAUCUCCGGUUAAGCACUGAAUCAUAACUCAAUCGUAAGGUAGCAUAAAAUUCGUUUUCGCAAUGUCCGGCUCAUCUGUUAAUUAAGUUACGGUUAAUUUAACGCCAACAUUGAGUGGUGAUUGGCUCUUAACCAGAAGAUAAUUUGACAGCUGCAUAUAAUAAAAUAACAAAUGAAAUGGUAUUCCGGCGAUGGCUUUAAAAUAAAUUUAGUUAUGAAAAAAUAUUUAAUUCAUUGCGUAUCUGGAUUCAUUGGUUGAGAAAUGUCUUUAUAGGGAAACCGCGCUGAAAGAAAUAAAGCAGCGGAAACUUCUCUCUUAAUAUAACACUUUCAUGCAUCGGGAUAUUUUUUAUUUUGCGCUACUGGUUUGGCCGAAUAAAAGUGGGGACUGCCAGACACGUGCUAAAUAGUGUCCUUUGCUGUAAAGGCUUUGCUUAAUCAUUCAUCAGAAUACCGAAAAAAGCUGGAUGUUGUCUUCAAUAUUGUCAUUUAGAAAAAUGAUUAUAAUCUUGAUGAAGUAGAAGCUCAAGUGCAUGAAGCAGCAAAAGCACUUAUUGAUGCCGACGUAAGCAAUGCUGAGGUACAAACCGAGGCUAUUGUAAGAUCUAUAGGGGAAUUACAACGAUUUUCGGACCGUUAAAAUGACUUAACGAUAAUUUGAACGAUUUCGAAAUUCUCUACAUACCUUAUAACGAUUUUCGGAAAACACCAAGAUGCAAAAACCACAAAUUGGAGGAAGAGCUCGGCCGAAAACCGCUUCAGCGGUUACAAAGAACCAAUUAUAUAUAUAUUGUAUAUAUAUUUUUAAUUUAUAACCUUUCAGCAAAACAAAAAAAUUAUUUUCAAGGAACUCUGCACUUACAAUAACGAUACGGGAUUGCCAUCGACGAAACUCAUUAUACUGAUCUUUUCAUGGGGGAUACUUACUUUUGUUUGUCGAUUAUUGCAUUUCUCAUAAAAAAUUUUUUAGCAAAGAACAUAAAUAAUCUUGUUGCUUAGCAAUGCCUUCUCUAGAAAACCAUGUUUAUUAUAAUUUAAUGUUAAAACACAAAAAAAGUUACAGGACUAGUACAGUUGUGUAUUUUGUUAUUAAUAAGUUUUAAAUUAUAAGAUUCCUUACUUGAAAUGGAAUGAAAAACUUCAAAUCAGAAAUUAUAACAGUAAAGUAUUACAUUGUAGUAAUAGAGACACAA